UUCAACCCUUCAUUGGGACCUGCCCAUGCGUUUGUUGGACUGCUCACCAAGUGAAGAGAUGGGUGUUCCAGAUGAGUCAGACCAUUUUAAAAUGGAUCCCGUAGGGUCUACUGAAGAGCUUGCAAAUGAUCGGUCACUACCGAGUCACGUAAUUUUAUUUGAAUCAGAAGAAAGAGCGUUGAGGGAAUUUUUGCUGUUGCAUUCUUUUCUUUCAAAGAGGUGAAGACAUUCUUCCAUGCUCACUUCAAGGUGGAUUGUGACCUCCAAUCAUCAAUGGUUGUCUUUGCUUUGACAGCUCAAUGAGUUAUGUGAUCAUGCAUUUGUUAUUCGAGUUCUCCGCAAGUUUGCCGUUGUUUUUUCACAUCCUAUUUUGACUUUGCUCGAGAACUUCAACUGCUUUUUUAGAGUGGGAACACUGAUUAGAAUGUGGCGGCAAUUCGUAGGUUAUGAUCUUUGGCAAUUCUUUACUUUUAGCAUUUGUCGGCCUUUUUUAGUAUUAAAAGCUGUGGAAUUCAAAUUAGUCUAU